rnacentral:rRNA from 1 species
UAGGGAAUAUUCGGCAAUGGACGAAAGUCUGACCGAGCAACGCCGCGUGAGUGAAGAAGGUUUUAGGAUUGUAAAAUUCUGUUGUUUGAGAAGAAAAAGAAGGUAAGAAAAUAAACGUCCCCUGAUGAUAUCUAACCAGAAAGCCCGGGCUAACGGCGUGCCAGCAGCCGCGGUAAUACGUCGGGGGCAAGCGUUGUCCGGAGUUGUUGGGCGUAAAGGGAGCGCAGGCGGUUUCUUAAGUCUGAAGUGAAAGCCCCCGGCUUAACCGGGGAAGGUCAUUGGAAACUGGUAGACUUGAGUGCAGUAGAGGAGGGUGGAAUUCCUUGUGUAGCGGUGAAAUGCUUAGAUAUAUGGAGGAACACCAGUGGCGAAGGCGGUUAUCUGGUCUGUAACUGACGCUGAGGCUCGAAAGCGUGGGGAGCAAACAGG